rnacentral:rRNA from 1 species
UACGUAGGUGGCAAGCGUUGUCCGGAUUUACUGGGCGUAAAGGAUGCGUAGGCGGACAUUUAAGUCAGAUGUGAAAUACCCGAGCUUAACUUGGGUGCUGCAUUUGAAACUGGGUGUCUAGAGUGCAGGAGAGGUAAGUGGAAUUCCUAGUGUAGCGGUGAAAUGCGUAGAGAUUAGGAUGAACACCAGUGGCGAAGGCGACUUACUGGACUGUAACUGACGCUGAGGCAUGAAAGCGUGGGGAGCAAACAGG